AAUUUUGUUGUGUUGAAAGUGUUGAUAGAAAAACGAUGACAAAAUCAUUCGCAGUAUACUGGUACAUUAUUUCUUUCCAUGAGCAUCUCAUGUCUGUGCCAAGCUGGAGUGAAAUCCUUCAAAAAUAUCACCUGUUUUAGAAUUGAAGAAAAAUGAAGAGAAGGUUGAAAUUGCAAGCAUAUUUCAAAUGAAGACUCGGACGACUACCAGUGCAGGCC